UGAGGGAUAUUGGUCAAUGGGCGCAAGCCUGAACCAGCGACGCCGCGUGGGUGAAGAAGGUCUUCGGAUCGUAAAGCCCUUUUCCCACUGAAGAGGAAGGACGGUAGGUGGGGAAGAAGUCUCGGCUAACUACGUGCCAGCAGCCGCGGUAAAACGUAGGAGACAAGCGUUAUCCGGAGUUACUGGGCGUAAAGGGCGUGCAGGUGGCGUCUUAAGUCUGUUGUGAAAGCGCCUGGCUUAACCGGGCGAGGCCAAUGGAGACUGAGAGGCUGGAGGACGGCGGAGGGAUGUGGAAUUCCGGGUGUAGUGGUGAAAUGCGUAGAGAUCCGGAGGAACACCAGAGGCGAAGGCGGCACUCUAAGCCGUACCUGACACUGAGACGCGACAGCACGGGGAGCAAACG
rnacentral:rRNA from 1 species